rnacentral:lncRNA from 1 species
AUAAAGCGACCAAAAUUAUUAAAUGCUAAUUAGCCAUAGAUACACAGUAAUUCGAAAGUUAAUACUACAUGUAUAUAUAUAAGAUACAAUAAUAAGUUUACAACGAACUCAGUAUCACGUGUCACUAAUUACACAACAAAUCUUAGCACCUCUAAUCAGCAUAAUACACAAAUGAAAUGCCAACAUUAUUCACUUACUCACUCACCAAUUAUCUGCUACAUUUUCUCACUAAAACAUUAAAAAAAUUAAAAAACUUGUUGGCAUAUAUUUGAUUGAUUGAAGAGUUACUUCCCCUUGUUCUUAACAGCAUUGGCAGCAGAUUUCACAGCUUUCACCGCAGCUGUUCCAAUCUUCUUCCCCACCAUUGUCGAAACCUUGGGCAUCUUUUUGGGAAAAAUACUUCCCGAUCCCUUGCUCGAACUCAUCUUCGAUUAAUUCCUCAAAUGUGUGUGUGUGUGGAUAGUUUCUAUUGAUAUUUGGCAGUGUGUCAUUGAAGAUACGUAAGUUGGUAUUUAUAGAGCUUGAGAGUUGUGAAACUUCCUGAAUAAACCUUACUUUUGGGGUAUUUUCGGCGUAGUUAAUUAGGCGCUAAUUUCUGUGUGGUUUCAAGGAAGAAAGAGGAGAUAUUGCUGCUGAUUUUCCGAUCAUGCAUCAUGUUUU